AACGAACGCUGGCGGCAGGCCUAACACAUGCAAGUCGAGCGAGGACUUCGGUCCUAGCGGCGGACGGGUGAGUAAUGCGUGGGAACGUGCCCUUUGCUUCGGAAUAGCCCUGGGAAACUGGGAGUAAUACCGGAUGAGCCCUUUGGGGGAAAGAUUUAUCGGCGAAGGAUCGGCCCGCGUUGGAUUAGGUAGUUGGUGGGGUAAUGGCCUACCAAGCCGACGAUCCAUAGCUGGUUUGAGAGGAUGAUCAGCCACACUGGGACUGAGACACGGCCCAGACUCCUACGGGAGGCAGCAGUGGGGAAUCUUAGACAAUGGGGGAAACCCUGAUCUAGCCAUGCCGCGUGAGCGAUGAAGGCCUUAGGGUUGUAAAGCUCUUUCAGCUGGGAAGAUAAUGACGGUACCAGCAGAAGAAGCCCCGGCUAACUCCGUG
rnacentral:rRNA from 1 species